rnacentral:rRNA from 1 species
UUGGGAAUCUUCGGCAAUGGACGAAAGUCUGACCGAGCAACGCCGCGUGAGUGAAGAAGGUUUUCGGAUCGUAACACUCUGUUGUUAGAGAAGAACAAUGACGUUAGUAACUGAACGUCCCCUGACGGUAUCUAACCAGAAAGCCACGUCUACCUCCGUGCCAGCAGCCGCGGUAAUACGUAGGUGGCAAGCGUUGUCCGGAUUUAUUGGGCGUAAAGCGAGCGCAGGCGGUUUCUUAAGUCUGAUGUGAAAGCCCCCGGCUCAACCGGGGAGGGUCAUUGGAAACUGGGAGACUUGAGUGCAGAAGGGGAGAGUGGAAUUCCAUGUGUAGCGGUGAAAUGCGUAGAUAUAUGGAGGAACACCAGUGGCGAAGGCGGCUCUCUGGUCUGUAACUGACGCUGAGGCUCGAAAGCGUGGGGAGCAAACAGG